GUCCAAUUUGACGUAAAUGAUAAUUAUAAGCCAGUUAAAAAAAUGUGAAACUCAGUUGAUGUCUCCCCAAUAGAAUUUUAAUUAUUUCAGCCUUCAAGAAUUCCCAUUGACAUAUAUAUCUCCUGCCAUGUCAAAUACAAAAAAUGCAUACAACUAUCGAAGUUAUAUAGCCACAUGGUGUCAGAAUCGUAACAAAGAGACCAGAUGGAUAAUAGAACUAUAAAAUCACAUUCAAAAAUAAUAAUUGAGCUAACAAUUUCUAAAAUCAAGAAUUAGCUGGAUGGAAAUCUUUGUCAUCAAAUGUAUGCUGAAAUAUGAUGUAAAACUUUAUGAACUGGUUUCUAAUAUAAUUCUUAGCGUGUGUGUACAAGUUAAAAGGGAACACCAGUGUUAUGUUGUCGUGUUGCCUUAUCAUCAUUUUCUCCUUCAUUGAUGUUAACAAGUGGCACGUAAGAAAAAUUAAAGAUAAUUUUCAACAAAAUUCGUCAUAUAUUACAUCAAAUAGUCAAAGGAUAACUUUAUUUCCUUUUUAAGUAUGAAACGAAAAUAAACACUAAACCUCAGGCCAAAAACCUGUUCCUCAAAUAUUUUUGAAAGCUACAAGAAUUUCUCUUUUUCAUCAUUUCUUUUCUCUUCAAGUUUCUGCUCGUCUACCAAUGCUAAAACCUCAUAAACACCUUCUGACUUUUCUUCAAUCUUUCUUGCCUCAUUCGGCAACAUAAUGUAAUUAGUGAUACUCAUCAAAGUACAAUUUCUUACCUGAAGAAGAACAAAGUGCAAUUUCUUACCUCAAGAACCAUGAAGAAGCAACAAUAAACAUAUCAGAAAUUGGGAAUUGUACGAAAAAUUCAUGCCAAAGAUACUUAAGUUACAGAAAUUUGAUCGCAGAGUUAUGAGAUUCUAAAACUAGUUCUCAUCUUCGUUUGUCACUCUGUGAUAGUAAAACCAUGCUCAAUCUUUCGCUUAAUAAUGGUUUUAUCGGCAAAAGAAGUAGCACCACAAAUGAACAAUGGAAACCCAGCGUUGGACGAAUCACAACGACAGUCAACAAUGUUAGAUAUUUUUCAUCAUUUUUCAUGUAUUUACUUUUUGUUUUGCGAAUGAUUUGCCGCCCCGACUAGUGUUUGCCGCUGCGCAACGGGGAUCGACCUGGACGAAUUCUCGUUUACAAAACACAUUAAAAAAUUAUUCUCCUCUCUUUCUCUUAGCAUCAUCAGUUCUUUUCGAGUGUCUUCUUGAUUUGAUCAAAUAGUCACAAUUUGAAUCAAACGCCUCCAUUGUAUCUUGAAAGAGAUCUUCUAUCAUAUCCCAGUUGUGACUUUGUUGGAUAGGGGAGAAACAUCUCUUAAAAGAUAACGUUUUUCGUGCCUUGGAAUUCAUUAAGUUUUCAAAUUUCCCUACAUUUUUCUCAACAGUUUUAAGAGAUGUCUUCGUUUCAAGAUCUGACAUUAAAUGAAUCUGUGGCACCCUCAAUUUAAGUCAUGAAUCAAGAUUUGAUUCGUCUUGAUCGAUUUGAUGGACAUAACUUCACGCGUUGGCAGGAAAAGGUUUUAUUCUUCUUGACAGCUAUCAAACUGUCCUACAUUCUGAGUAAUGGUCUGCGCAUAUUCCAGAAGAAAAAGCAGAUGAUUCAGAUGAACGCAAGAAGGAAUUACAGGAACAGCGGAAGAAACGGAAGGAUGAUGAUUUUCUGUGCAGAGGCCAUAUUCUGAAUGCACUAUCAGAUUCUGUUUACAGCGCACACAGGACUAUCGGAACAGCAAGAAAAUUGUGAUUGGCAUUGGACAACAAGUAUCGUAUUGAAGAGGCAAGCAACCAGAAAUUCUUGAUCGGUAAUUAUUUUGAUUUCAAGAUGACGAAAAAUAAGUCUAUUCUUGCCC
rnacentral:lncRNA from 1 species